rnacentral:rRNA from 1 species
UACAGAGGGUGCGAGCGUUAAUCGGAAUUACUGGGCGUAAAGCGCGCGUAGGCGGCUUUUCAAGUCGAUUGUGAAAUCCCCGGGCUUAACCUGGGAACUGCAGUCGAGACUGUCUAGCUAGAGUAUGGGAGAGGGAAGUGGAAUUUCAGGUGUAGCGGUGAAAUGCGUAGAUAUCGUAAGGAAGACCAGUGGCGAAGGCGGGUCUCUGGACAGUUCCUGACGCUGAGGCACGAAGGUCAGGGGAGCAAACGGG